AAAUUCCUGUUGCUGCAAAAAAAUCAGGUCAAGAUGAGAGGUUUUUAUUGAUUUUUCUCUCCUUAAUCCUUCUCUUCCUCCCUGCAAAGUAUGAAGGCUAGCUUGGAUCUACCAGAUUUCAAGAAAGAGCUGACUUGUUCUAUCCAUUCGCAUCAUUUGAUCAAACCACUUGUAAUUGCAGGUGCACGCAGGCCUUGCUGUGAGUGCCUCUAGGGAGAUGGAAAGGAACAUCUGGUUAUGGCUCCAAGGUUUGCUGUGCAGUAGGGGAUGAUGGCUGAGAUGGCAAAGCAUCUGAGAUGUCAUGUAAUGGAUUUCAAGAAUAGCAUAUGUGAGAUGCACCCAAAAAGCCUGAAGGCUUGUGUUGACAGAGUUGAUGCUCCUGUGUGAGACUCGUGUUCUGUCUCAGCAACACAAGUCUCUCUCAAAAUUCAUCACUGGGAAGGCAAAAGUCAUCUUCAAGCUCUAGCAUAGCAACCUCCAAGAGAGGAUAAUCGUUAUCCUUUUCAGAAUGAGGCCCAAGAAAUCCGGAAUUCUCUACACAAGGCAAUGGUCUCACAAGCGGACAACUGCCUCGGCAGAGAAAAAUGAACAGGCACCAUUCCAAGAUGAAGAACGUCCCCAAGGUGGUUUUGAGAAGGCCUGAGCAUGCAGCAAGAUGGUAAGAAUGGAUGAGAGAAUUUUCAGGCGAAGUCAGCAGUGGCGCAGGCGAGCUGGCCUGGAUUCACGGCUGUUCUAUCACUGUACUGCACCUCCAAGCUUGGAGCAGUCAAGGGAAAAGACCAAGGCUUACCCAUACAGGAUUAAAAUCAAAUGAAACUGUCCAUGGGACACAGGACUUAGAUAGAAAUAGCGGUUUCCUUCUAUCCUCUCUCUUUUCAGGAACUAUCAGUUUCAAGAAAAUGCUUUUGGUUCGCAGGUUUUAUGUUGCAGCUCUUCAUUAUUAAAGCCACAUAGUCUA